UACGUAGGUGGCAAGCGUUGUCCGGAUUUAUUGGGUUUAAAGGGUGCGUAGGCGGUUCUAUAAGUCAGUGGUGAAAUCCGGCAGCUCAACUGUCGAUGUGCCAUUGAUACUGCAGAACUUGAGUACAGACGAGGUAGGCGGAAUUGACGGUGUAGCGGUGAAAUGCUUAGAUAUCGUCAAGAACACCGAUAGCGAAGGCAGCUUACUAGACUGUAACUGACGCUGAUGCACGAAAGUGUGGGGAUCAAACGGG
rnacentral:rRNA from 1 species